UACGUAGGUGGCAAGCGUUGUCCGGAAUUAUUGGGCGUAAAGCGCGCGCAGGCGGUCCUUUAAGUCUGAUGUGAAAGCCCACGGCUCAACCGUGGAGGGUCAUUGGAAACUGGGGGGACUUGAGUGCAGAAGAGGAAAGCGGAAUUCCACGUGUAGCGGUGAAAUGCGUAGAGAUGUGGAGGAACACCAGUGGCGAAGGCGGCUUUCUGGUCUGUAACUGACGCUGAGGCGCGAAAGCGUGGGGAGCAAACAGGAUUAGAUACCCCCGGGUAGUCCAACAACGAUCUC
rnacentral:rRNA from 1 species